ensembl:misc_RNA Metazoa_SRP Metazoan signal recognition particle RNA
GCCGGGCAUGGUGGCCGACGCCUGUAAUCCCAGCUACUUGGGAGGCUGAGGCAGGAGAAUCGCUUGAACCCAAGGAGGCAGAGGUUGCAGUGAGCUGAGAUUGGGUCACUGCACUCCUGCCUGGGUGACAAAGCGAGACUCCGUCUCAA